CUCCGCCACCGGGCGCUGGGCGCCGGGCCGGGCCGGGCGGGACCCCGCAGCGCCACCCGCAGUGCCGCGCUCUGACCGCCAGGGGGCGACGCCGCGCAAGUGGCGCGUUAUGUCGCGGUGCUUCCGCUAGGGGGCGCCUGGCGCGCGUACGCUGUUUUAAAUUCCGAGCCCAACCGCCAGGGGGCGCCACGGUGGGGCCGGAGCCGGGAGCUGCCGGUGGGCGCCAGAACGCGGCUCAACCGAGCGCCGAGCGGCACCGGCACCGGCGGCAGCGCCCGUAGGGGCCGCGCUGACCGGGGGCUGCCUGGCCGGGGCUGCCUGGCCGGGGCAGGGGAACCGCCGCCGCCGGGGCGAGCCAGCGCGGGGCGGGCAGCCGGGUUCGUGCAGGAGCACCGCGAGUCCUUUUCCCUCUGCGUGCGGAGAGGCCUUCGGGCACCUGCGGGGGACGGACGGGGCUUUUCGGGAGCCGGGGCCCAGCGACCCAGCUGGUGAGAAACUCGGUGGAGAGGGCUGCCGGCCGGAGCUGCGGUGCCGAUGGGGCUCCCCCAAUCUCAGCCACCUGGCUGCACCUGCGGAAUUGGGAAAGGCUGGGGAAAGGUUUCCUGAUUGCCCGCGUCUGCUAACGAGCAUCACGGCGGGCUGAGCCGCAUUACCGGGAGGCCCUGCCUGCGUGGACCCGCGCCGCACGGCUCCGUUCCUGCCCCGGGGCUGCCCGGGCGGAGGAGAGGACCAGGAGAGGGCCUAAACUGCAGGGGAGCAGCCGAGCAGCAGAGAGGCGCGGCCUGGGCGAGGAGCACGGCCCCGACGCGGGCACCGGGGGUGCCGACAGGCGAGGAUGAGCCUGAGCGAGGACCGCGGCAGCACCACGGACACGGAGAGGGCAGGGGAUGUGCGGUAGAGAACAGACACGGAUGCUGCCUUACCUGUGCCCGCUUGCCCCAGGCGAUCCAGGGGGAACCCCCCACCUCACUUUUGCUCUCGGCCUGGAUGUAAUCUCUGAGGGAAGAGGCCAGGCUCCUUGCUCACAGAAAGAACUCGCCUCCCUGCUGCUCUGAGCUCCUUACUGGGGACAGCCCUGCUUGCAUCCAGCUGAUGGACACCCCAGCUUGUUACAAGUCCGGGUAAUUUCAGCUGCAGGUAAUAGCAGUUCUAGCUACUGGAUGCUCCAGCCUGAAGUAAUUUCACGUCCCGCUUGUUGAAACCCCAGCUUUGGCUACGAGAUGCUCCUGCUGAUGGACCCUCCACUUUGUUCCAGCUCUGGUGACGAGAUGCUCUUGCUGAUGGACCCUCUGCUUGGUUCCAGUUCCAGCUCUGGCUGAGUGACGCCACGAUGCUUCUUGUUGCCUGCUCUGGCUUAAUUAAUGCCUCUUCUUGUUACAAGCCAAUUAAAGCUUCGGUUAAUUGUAGCAAUGUGAGCUUUUGACAAGGUCGUAAAUCAAUCACUGUUAUAACUUGUAUAUGAAUAUGACCUGUCAUAAUUGUAUAUUGUCUAAAUAUGGACUUAAUGACUAUUCCGGUGGUUGUACAUACCUUGAAUAAAGAGUUGGACGAAGGCA